UACACACCGCCCGUCAAGCCACGAAAGCUGACUGUACCCGAAGUUGUCUUAGCUGACCCGCAAGGGGGGCGGGCAACGAAGGUAUGAUCGGUGAUUGGGGCU
rnacentral:rRNA from 1 species